rnacentral:tRNA from 7 species
GGGCCUGUAGCUCAGCUGGCUAGAGCGCUGCAUUCGCAUUGCAGAGGUCAGGAGUUCGAAUCUCCUCAGGUCCACCA